rnacentral:rRNA from 1 species
GACGUAGGGCGCGAGCGUUGUCCGGAUUUAUUGGGCGUAAAGAGCUCGUAGGCGGCUUGUCGCGUCGUCCGUGAAAACUUGGGGCUCAACCCCAAGCUUGCGGUCGAUACGGGCAGGCUAGAGUUCGGUAGGGGAGACUGGAAUUCCUGGUGUAGCGGUGGAAUGCGCAGAUAUCAGGAGGAACACCAAUGGCGAAGGCAAUGUUCUGGCUCGUUUCUGACGCUCAGGUGCGAAAGCCAGGGGAGCGAACGGG